rnacentral:rRNA from 1 species
AACGAACGCUGGCGGCAGGCCUAACACAUGCAAGUCGAGCGGACCUUUCGGGGUCAGCGGCGGACGGGUGAGUAACGCGUGGGAAUAUGCCCUUCUCUACGGAAUAGUCCUGGGAAACUGGGGGUAAUACCGUAUGCGCCCUUUGGGGGAAAGAUUUAUCGGGGAAGGAUUAGCCCGCGUUGGAUUAGGUAGUUGGUGGGGUAAUGGCCUACCAAGCCGACGAUCCAUAGCUGGUUUGAGAGGAUGAUCAGCCACACUGGGACUGAGACACGGCCCAGACUCCUACGGGAGGCAGCAGUGGGGAAUCUUAGACAAUGGGGGCAACCCUGAUCUAGCCAUGCCGCGUGAGUGAUGAAGGCCUUAGGGUUGUAAAGCUCUUUCAGCUGGGAAGAUAAUGACGGUACCAGCAGAAGAAGCCCCGGCUAACUCCGUG